rnacentral:rRNA from 1 species
AGCAGCCGCGGUAAUUCCAGCUCCAAUAGCGUAUAUUAAAGUUGUUGCAGUUAAAAAGCUCGUAGUUGAAUUUCGGGAUCAAUAUGUUGGUCGUGCCUUGGUACGUACUGGCAUUAUCGAUUCCUACCUUCUGAAGAACCUCGAUGUCAUUAGUUUGGUGUCUUGGGGAAUCAGGACUGUUACUUUGAAAAAAUUAGAGUGUUUAAAGCAAGCUAACGCUUGAAUACAUUAGCAUGGAAUAAUGAAAUAGGACGUUCGAUCCUAUUUUGUUGGUUUCUAGGAUUGACGUAAUGAUUAAUAGGGAUAGUUGGGGGCAUUAGUAUUCAAUUGUCAGAGGUGAAAUUCUUGGAUUUAUUGAAGACUAACUACUGCGAAAGCAUUUGCCAAGGAUGUUUUCAUUAAUCAAGAACGAAAGUUAGGGGAUCGAAGACGAUCAGAUACCGUCGUAGUCUUAACCAUAAACUAUGCCGACUAGGGAUCGGAUGAUGUUAAUUUUUUAAUGACUCA